UUGUAGUAGGAUAAUAGUAGCGUUAGUACCUAAAGCAAGAUUUAGUAAAUGGUGAAAUCUGUUGUGGCACACUGACUUGGAAGUGAAGCAAGUAGAUUGAGGUCGGUGUUGGCAGUGUGUUCGGUGGCACUUAGAUCUUACCGACUUAGUAAUGAAGGCUGGAGUACAGUCUUUAUUUAUAUUAUACAGAUAUAGGUCUUACAGUAUAGGUGACAGGAUUGUUUUUAGAUUUCUCUAGGUGGGUCAUGUUUUUUCUGGCUCACUUGCCUGGUGUGUGUGUCUGCCAAACUGUGUCAGAGUAAGUGUGAAGCUGUUUUGUAGCCUGAAAAGACACUAUUUAUACCUGGAAGGUAUUAUAAAGCCAUAAAUAGUACAGCUAUUUAUAUCUGGAAAAUUGGGUCCUGUGACCACCAGCAAGCAAGCAGAUGAAUUUUGCUUGUUUGCUUUCUUCUGGUUUUUGGUUUACUUUGAUGCUAGGAGUUUAGUUUAGCUAGACAAAGGCAGCUGUCAGUUGCAAUUUUCAUACUCAAUCUAAAGUUUACACUAAAAUGUCUUCGGGUGCCAUAUGCAUGGCUUCUACUAAAUUUAUAUUUUAGUGCAGUAUUCUUACAUGUCCUCAAAUUGUAGCAGAUUGUGUGAUUACUGUGUUCCAGUUUUAUUGUCCUUGGGAAUCAAGCAUUUGGUUGCUGUGCAGUUUUCUACUAACCUUGCUUUGCAGAGGUUAGCAGAUGAUGAGGUGAAAAUUUUUAUGUCUGGCAGAGAGUUGGCACUGACUGCCUCUGAGUAUUGUGAGAGCAAGAACUGCUAGUAGUGGAGUUAGCCUCAAAAUGACGCGAGUUCGGCACUGAAAAAGCGAGGAGUUAGGAAAACAAUACAAUUGGAAUCACGAAUGGCAUAUUA